CGCCCCGUGACUAACACAUGCUCACUGUGGGCAAGCAGGAGGGAGACCUCCAGGGACGACAUGGAGGAUGGCGAAGGCUUACUGGAGCAGAACCUUGUGAGUAAGAGGAAAGUCAUGAGGCUUGCUGGGCCUCCCCAGGUUUCGUUGGGGCUCCUGAGGUCAACACUCAGGAUACAAUCCUUCCAUCACUGACUCUGCACCUGGAGUGCCUCCCCCUUUCCAUCUGGCAGCCGCUCUUCUUGGCAAAGUGGGCUGUGAGUUGACAGAGUAAAUGGACGUCCCACCGAAGGACUUCUGUAUGAUGUUACAGUGGAGGCACCAGAAGUUAGGGAUCACAUGUCAAGAGGUCAGUAUGUGUACGGUAUGCUCAAGUCACACCAAGGAGUCACAAAAGACACGUGUUGAUGGAAGACACGGAACUGGGAACAAGAGCAGGAGACAGGACACCUGAGAGGCACAGGAGUGGAGAAAGAGCAGAUGACAAUGUGUCGGGGAGACAGCGCUGCAAGCUGAGGACCCGACCUUGGGAGAAACAGCCCUGCAGGCCUCCGUCUCAGACUUCAGCCUCCAGGACCAGAAAUACAAUUGGCUCAUUAUUCAAGCCUCUUAGUCUAUGCUUGCAUGUGAUGACAGGCCUAGCAAAUAAUGCACAUGAAAUGACCCUGUCGAGCACAUGGCGUAGGUGGGUGUAUGGAGAAGUCAGAAGUUAGCCUCCGGAUUCAUUUCUCGGGAUCUACCCACCUUGCUUUUGACACUGGAUGGCCAGACGGCCCCAAGGAUCUGCUGGGGUUUGCUUCCCUAGCACUGGGGGUUGUGAGCAUGUGCUAACAUGCCUGCCCUUUCACUGUGGGUUCUCGGUAUUGAACUCAGUUCUCAUGCUUGCAAGGCAAGCACUUUACCAACUAUGCUGCCUCCCCAGGCCCCAAGCCAUUGUGUUUCAGAGCUAUUUGCUAUGUAAUGAUAGUAACUGAUAAGUGUUGAACAUCAGGACACUCAGGAGUAAAGCCUGGGGAUUUGGGGUUCUGUCCCCCCCGCACCCCAUCGCCGCCUUGUCAGUGCCUCCCUGAAUUGUCUUGGCCUACUCUUUGAUUUAUAA